UACGUAGGGAGCAAGCGUUGUCCGGAAUCAUUGGGCGUAAAGCGCGCGUAGGUGGCUUCGUAAGUCCGUUGUGAAAGUCAAAGGCUCAACCUUUGAAAGCCGAUGGAUACUGCGGAGCUAGAGUACGGAAGAGGCGAGUGGAAUUCCUGGUGUAGCGGUGAAAUGCGCAGAUAUCAGGAGGAACACCCGUAGCGAAGGCGGCACUCUGGGCCGAUACCGACACUGAGGAGCGAAAGCGUGGGGAGCGAACAGG
rnacentral:rRNA from 1 species